rnacentral:rRNA from 1 species
UACGUAGGAUGCAAGCGUUGUCCGGAAUUAUUGGGCGUAAAGAGCGCGCAGGCGGUCUAUCAAGUCAGAUGUGAAAUAUCCCGGCUUAACCGGGAGGGGGUCAUUUGAAACUGGUAGACUAGAGUACAGCAGAGGAUAGCGGAAUUCCCGGUGUAGUGGUGAAAUGCGUAGAUAUCGGGAGGAACACCAGUGGCGAAGGCGGCUAUCUGGGCUGAAACUGACGCUGAGGCGCGAAGGCUAGGGGAGCAAACAGG